UACGUAGGUGGCGAGCGUUGUCCGGAUUUACUGGGCGUAAAGAGCGCGCAGGCGGUCGUACAAGUCGCGUGUGAAAGCCCCUGGCUCAACUGGGGAGGGUCACGCGAUACUGUUCGACUCGAAGGCAGGAGAGGGAAGUGGAAUUCCCGGUGUAGUGGUGAAAUGCGUAGAUAUCGGGAGGAACACCAGUGGCGAAGGCGGGUCUCUGGGCAGUAACUGACGCUGAGGAGCGAAAGCGUGGGGAGCGAACAGG
rnacentral:rRNA from 1 species